AAAUAAGAGAGACUGAACCAGAAGGACAGAGAGAGGGAGAGAGAGAGAGAUAGAACCAGGACAGAGUGAGAGAGAGCGAGAGAGAUAGAGAGUGAACCAGAAGGACAGAGAGAGAGAGAGAGAGAGAGUGAACCAGAAGGACAGAGAGAGAGAGAGAGUGAACCAGAAGGACAGAGAGAGAGAGAAAGCGAGAGUGAGAGAGAGACAGAGAGAGUGAGAGAGAGAGAGAGAGAGAGAGUGAACCAGAAGGACAGAGAGAGAGAGAGAGAGAGACAGAGAGAGAGAGAACCAACCAGAAGGACAGAGAGAGAGAGAGAGAGAGAGAGAGAGAGAGAGACAGAGUGAACCAGAAGGACAGAGAGAGAGAGAGAGAGAGAGAGAGAGAGACAGAGUGAACCAGGACAGAGAGAGAGAGAGAGAGACAGAGUGAACCAGAAGGACAGAGAGAGAGGGGGGGGGGGG
ensembl:lncRNA